rnacentral:lncRNA from 1 species
CAGUAAUGAGGCUAAGCCAUCAUGGACUCAAACUGCUGAAACCAUGGUAAUCAAACAACUUCAAUCCCUUAAAGUUGUUUCUCUCAGGGUCUUCCAGACCGAGAGGCACUCUCCACAUCUGGUUCCUUCGGUGUGAGGCCUGAAGCAUCAUCUCGUUCAAUUCUACCAGGUAAAAAUCAAGCACAAGAACAGAGGAAUUCAGAAGGAAAAGAUUUGUGACCAACUGGAAAAGUUCGAACAUGCACAUCUGAGCCCUGGCUUAGCGAUGGCCCCAGGACAUCAUUUCACUAAAAUCUUGUGUAUUGGACUGACUGGCCUGGAGAGAUGGCUCAGCGAUUAAGAGCACUGCCCACUCUUCCAGGGGUCCUGAGGU